UGGGGAAUAUUGCACAAUGGGCGCAAGCCUGAUGCAGCCAUGCCGCGUGUAUGAAGAAGGCCUUCAGGUUGUAAAGUACUUUCAGUCGGGAGGAAGGUGGUAAGGUUAAUAACCUUAUCAAUUGACGUUACCGACAGAAGAAGCACCGGCUAACUCCGUGCCAGCAGCCGCGGUAAUACGGAGGGUGCAAGCGUUAAUCGGAAUUACUGGGCGUAAAGCGCACGCAGGCGGUUGAUUGAGUCAGAUGUGAAAUCCCCGGGCUUAACCCGGGAAUUGCAUCUGAUACUGGUCAGCUAGAGUCUUGUAGAGGGGGGUAGAAUUCCAUGUGUAGCGGUGAAAUGCGUAGAGAUGUGGAGGAAUACCGGUGGCGAAGGCGGCCCCCUGGACAAAGACUGACGCUCAGGUGCGAAAGCGUGGGGAGCAAACAGG
rnacentral:rRNA from 1 species